CAGAUCUUCUACUAUUCGACGUCCAUCUUCGAGGGGGCGGGGCUUCAGGACCCGGCCGUCGGCACCAUCGGGACGGGCGUGGUCAACGUGGCGGCCACCGCCCUGUCGGUGGUGCUGGUGGAGCGGGCGGGGCGGCGCGUGCUGCAGCUGGUGGGGCUGCUGGGCAUGAUGGGCUGCGCCGGGAGCCUGGCGCUGGCGCUGACGGUGAGCGGCACCCCGAAAUCCACCCGGGACCCCGAAAUCCAUCUGGGACACCCCGAAAUCCAUCCCUGAGAGCCCAAAAUCCAUCCUGGGACACCCCAAAAUUCAUCUGGGACACCCUGAAAUCCAUCNNNNNNNNAAAUCCAUCCUGGGACACCCCCAAUCCAUCCGGGACCCCAAAAUUCAUCUGGGACACCCCAAAAUUCAUCUGGGACACCCUGAAAUCCACCCGGGACACCCCAAAAAUCAUCUGGGACACCCUGAAAUCCAUCCCUGAGAGCCCAAAAUCCAUCCGGGCACCCCCAAUCCAUCCGGGACCCCAAAAUUCAUCUGGGACACCCCGAAAUUCAUCUGGGACACCCCGAAAUCCAUCUGGGACACCCCAAAAUUCAUCUGGGACACCCUGAAAUCUAUCCCUGAGAGCCCAAAAUCCAUCCUGGGACACCCCCAAUCCAUCCGGGACCCCAAAAUUCAUCUGGGACACCCCGAAAUUCAUCUGGGACACCCCGAAAUCCAUCCGGGCACCCCGAAAUUCAUCUGGGAGACCCCGAAAUCCAUCCCUGAGAGCCCAAAAUCCAUCCGGGCAGCCCCAAUCCAUCCCGGCACCCCGAAUCCAUCCCGGCACCCCGAAAUCCAACCCCGGGACCCCGAAAUCCAUCUGGGACACCCCGAAUCCAUCUGGGCACCCCGAAUCCAUCCCGGCACUCCGAAUCCAUCCGGGCACCCCAAAAUCCGCCCCGGGACCCCGAAAUCCAACCCCGGGACCCCAAAUCCAUCCCGGGCACCCCGAAUCCAGCCCCGAGAGCCCGAAAUCCCACCCAGGACCCUGAAAUCCAUCCUGGAAAAAAAAAAUUCAUCCUGGUGGGACCCCAAA
rnacentral:lncRNA from 1 species